rfam:TPA: Bos taurus chromosome 11, whole genome shotgun sequence.
UCCCUGGUGGCUCAGACGGUAAAGCGUCUGUCUACAAUGCAGGAGCCCCGGGUUCGAGCCCUGGUUUGGGAA